rnacentral:rRNA from 1 species
UAGGGAAUCUUCGGCAAUGGGGGCAACCCUGACCGAGCAACGCCGCGUGAGUGAAGAAGGUUUUCGGAUCGUAAAGCUCUGUUGUAAGUCAAGAACGGGUGUGAGAGUGGAAAGUUCACACUGUGACGGUAGCUUACCAGAAAGGGACGGCUAACUACGUGCCAGCAGCCGCGGUAAUACGUAGGUCCCGAGCGUUGUCCGGAUUUAUUGGGCGUAAAGCGAGCGCAGGCGGUUUGAUAAGUCUGAAGUUAAAGGCUGUGGCUCAACCAUAGUUCGCUUUGGAAACUGUCAAACUUGAGUGCAGAAGGGGAGAGUGGAAUUCCAUGUGUAGCGGUGAAAUGCGUAGAUAUAUGGGGGAACACCGGUGGCGAAAGCGGCUCUCUGGUCUGUAACUGACGCUGAGGCUCGAAAGCGUGGGGAGCGAACAGG